UCUCAUUCCAUCCAGAUGGUGAGCUCCUAGAAGGCAAGAAACUUGUUUUGUUCAUCUUUGUAAUUUCCCCAGGAUUUGGCAGAAGGCCAAGAUUUUUGCUCAGCCAUGGUAAGAACAAGGAGAAACAAGCUUCCAGACGGCAAUUUUCCUAAGCAGACCAACUUGAAAUCACUGCUUCUGUGGUUCCCCAACUGAAUUAUGUCAAAACCAGAACAAAAUGAACAAAACAAAACAAAGCAGAAAGACUCUCUGGCUGCAGUAG